AACAGGUCUCAUGUGGUAAACACUGGGUGGGCUAUGUUGGCUCUCAUUGAUGCUGGACAGGCCAAGAGAGAUCCGACUCCACUGCACCGGGCAGCUGCAUACUUGAUAAAUUCCCAAAUGGAGAAUGGUGACUUUCCCCAGCAGG